rnacentral:rRNA from 4 species
UGGGGAAUAUUGCACAAUGGGCGCAAGCCUGAUGCAGCGACGCCGCGUGAGGGAUGACGGCCUUCGGGUUGUAAACCUCUUUCAGUAGGGAAGAAGCGAAAGUGACGGUACCUGCAGAAGAAGCGCCGGCUAACUACGUGCCAGCAGCCGCGGUAAUACGUAGGGCGCAAGCGUUAUCCGGAAUUAUUGGGCGUAAAGAGCUCGUAGGCGGUUUGUCGCGUCUGCCGUGAAAGUCCGGGGCUCAACUCCGGAUCUGCGGUGGGUACGGGCAGACUAGAGUGAUGUAGGGGAGACUGGAAUUCCUGGUGUAGCGGUGAAAUGCGCAGAUAUCAGGAGGAACACCGAUGGCGAAGGCAGGUCUCUGGGCAUUAACUGACGCUGAGGAGCGAAAGCAUGGGGAGCGAACA